GCUGGCGGCAUGCCUAACACAUGCAAGUCGAACGGCAGCACAGCAGUAGCAAUACUGUGGGUGGCGAGUGGCGGACGGGUGAGUGAUGCAUCGGGACCUACCUCAACGUGGGGGAUAACGUAGGGAAACUUACGCUAAUACCGCAUACGUCCUACGGGAGAAAGCAGGGGACCUUCGGGCCUUGCGCGGUGAGACGGACCGAUGUGCGAUUAGCUAGUUGGUAAGGUAAUGGCUUACCAAGGCGACGAUCGCUAGCUGGUCUGAGAGGAUGAUCAGCCACACUGGAACUGAGACACGGUCCAGACUCCUACGGGAGGCAGCAGUGGGGAAUAUUGGACAAUGGGCGCAAGCCUGAUCCAGCAAUGCCGCGUGUGUGAAGAAGGCCUUCGGGUUGUAAAGCACUUUUAUCAGGAACGAAAUACUACGGGUUAAUAACCUGUGGGGCUGACGGUACCUGAGGAAUAAGCGCCGGCUAACUUCGUGCCAGCAGCCGCGGUAAUACGAAGGGUGCAAGCGUUAAUCGGAAUUACUGGGCGUAAAGGGUGCGUAGGCGGUUAGUUAAGUCUGUUGUGAAAUCCCCCGGGCCCACCUGGGAAUGGG
rnacentral:rRNA from 1 species